GGAGUUGUGGCUCAGUGGUGAAGCACUUGCCUAGCAUGUGAGGCACUGGGUUCGAUUCUCAGCACUACA
rnacentral:tRNA from 1 species